rnacentral:rRNA from 1 species
GGAAUUUUGCGCAAUGGGCGGAAGCCUGACGCAGCAACGCCGCGUGGAGGAAGAAGGCCCUCGGGUCGUAAACUCCUGUCCAUGGGGAAGAUGGUGACGGUACCCUUGGAGGAAGCCCCGGCUAACACCGCGCCAGCAGCCGCGGUAAUACGGGGGGGGCGAGCGUGGUUCGGAUUGACUGGGCGUAAAGGGCGCGUAGGCGGCCCGGGAAGUUCUGGGUGAAAGCCCCCGGCUCAACCGGGGAAGUGCCUGGAAAACCAUCGGGCUGGAGUGCUGGAGAGGCAAGCGGAAUUUCUGGUGUAGCGGUGAAAUGCGUAGAUAUCAGAAGGAACACCUGCGGCGAAGGCGGCUUGCUGGACAGACACUGACGCUGAGGCGCGAAAGCCAGGGGAGCAAAC